rnacentral:rRNA from 1 species
CGUGCCAGCAGCCGCGGUAAUACGUAGGUGGCAAGCGUUGUCCGGAAUUAUUGGGCGUAAAGGGCUCGCAGGCGGUUUCUUAAGUCUGAUGUGAAAGCCCCCGGCUCAACCGGGGAGGGUCAUUGGAAACUGGGAAACUUGAGUGCAGAAGAGGAGAGUGGAAUUCCACGUGUAGCGGUGAAAUGCGUAGAGAUGUGGAGGAACACCAGUGGCGAAGGCGACUCUCUGGUCUGUAACUGACGCUGAGGAGCGAAAGCGUGGGGAGCGAACAGGAUUAGAUACCCUGGUAGUCCACGCCGUAAACGAUGAGUGCUAAGUGUUAGGGGGUUUCCGCCCCUUAGUGCUGCAGCUAACGCAUUAAGCACUCCGCCUGGGGAGUACGGUCGCAAGACUGAAACUCAAAGGAAUUGACGGGGGCCCGCACAAGCGGUGGAGCAUGUGGUUUAAUUCGAAGCAACGCGAAGAACCUUACCAGGUCUUGACAUCCUCUGACAACCCUAGAGAUAGGGCUUUCCCUUCGGGGACAGAGUGACAGGUGGUGCAUGGUUGUCGUCAGCUCGUGUCGUGAGAUGUUGGGUUAAGUCCCGCAACGAGCGCAACCCUUGAUCUUAGUUGCCAGCAUUCAGUUGGGCACUCUAAGGUGACUGCCGGUGACAAACCGGAGGAAGGUGGGGAUGACGUCAAAUCAUCAUGCCCCUUAUGACCUGGGCUACACACGUGCUACAAUGGACAGAACAAAGGGCUGCGAGACCGCAAGGUUUAGCCAAUCCCACAAAUCUGUUCUCAGUUCGGAUCGCAGUCUGCAACUCGACUGCGUG